rnacentral:rRNA from 1 species
AACAGCCGCGGUAAUUCCAGCUCCAAUAGCGUAUAUUAAAGUUGUUGCAGUUAAAAAGCUCGUAGUUGAAUUUCGGGGUCAGUAGGUUGGUCAUGCCACUGGUAUGUACUGGUCUCACUGAUUCCUCCUUCCUGAUGAACUGUAAUGCCAUUAAUUUGGUGUUGCAGGGAAUCUGGACUGUUACUUUGAAAAAAUUAGAGUGUUUAAAGCAGGCUAACGCCUGAAUACAUUAGCAUGGAAUAAUGAAAUAGGACGUUCGAUCCUAUUUUGUUGGUUUCUAGGAUUGACGUAAUGAUUAAUAGGGAUAGUUGGGGGCAUUAGUAUUCAAUUGUCAGAGGUGAAAUUCUUGGAUUUAUUGAAGACUAACUACUGCGAAAGCAUUUGCCAAGGAUGUUUUCAUUAAUCAAGAACGAAAGUUAGGGGAUCGAAGACGAUCAGAUACCGUCGUAGUCUUAACCAUAAACUAUGCCGACUAGGGAUCGGAUGAUGUUAAUUUUUAAUGA